ensembl:snoRNA SNORD15 Small nucleolar RNA SNORD15
CUUCGGUGAUGACACGAUGACGAGUCAGAAAGGUCACGUCCUGCCCUCGGGCUGUGCCAGUACCACGUUCUGUGGUGCUGUGCGUGGGUUCCUUGGGCAGAAGUGUCCUGUUCAUUGAUUGAUUUAGAGGCAUUUGUCUGAGAAGG